UAGGGAAUAUUAGAAAUGGACGAAAGUCUGAUCUAGCGACACCGCGUGUGCGAUGAAGGCCUUCGGGUUGUAAAGCACUUUUUGGAAGGAAUAGGAAGGAAGGUACUUCCAGAAUAAGUCUCGGCUAACUACGUGCCAGCAGCCGCGGUAACACGUCGGAGGCAAACGUUAUCCGGAUUUACUGGGCGUACAGAGCGUGAAGGUGGUUCUGUAAGUAGGGCGUGAAAGCUCCCGGCUCAACUGGGUGAGGCCGUUCUAAACUGCAGAACUAGAGGAUGGUAGAGGGAGUUGGAAUUUCAGGUGUAGCGGUGUAAUGCGCAGAUAUCUGAAGGAACACCAGUGGCGAAAGCGGCCUCCUGGACCAUUCCUGACACUCAGACGCGAAAGCUAGGGUAGCAAACG
rnacentral:rRNA from 1 species